rnacentral:lncRNA from 1 species
GGUGCGAGACAUGCUGGAUGCGAUCAUACCAGCACUAAAGCACCGGAUCCCAUCAGAACCCCGAAGUUAAGCCUGCUUGGGCGAGAGUAGUACUAGGAUGGGUGUCCUCCUGGGAAGUCCUCGUGUUGCACUUUGGGUUCUUGGUCGAGACAUUCGUUCAUUUUUGCCAUUUUGGGACCUCGGUCGAUUCGUUCGUUCAUUUCUACCGUUUUCGGUACUUGUCGGAGCCAUUGGUUCGGCCUACGCGUUUAUCGCUCGUGACGCGCGUGUCUAGCGACGCCAUCGUUUGUUCCACCUUCCGUCCGGGACAGACGUACGCUGUUCGCUCGGGGUACACGUAUCUCUCUUUUCACUCCCAUGAGACCCUGCUGUUCGUCCGCGGUACGAGUCAGCCGCUUAUUCGCCCCUACGACGGCACGGUUCGCCACGCGCGGACAGGUAAGGGCCACGCGCGGGGAGCAUAAGGGCGUAGGCGGUGCGAGACAUGCUGGAUGCGAUCAUACCAGCAGUAAGCACCGGAUCCCAUCAGAACUCUGAAGUUAUGCGUGCUUGGGCGAUAGUAGUACUAGGAUGGGUGACCUCCUGGGAAGUCCUCGUGAUGCGUCCCUUCAUUUAGCCGUUUUGUGUUCUUGGUCGAGACAUACGUUCAUUUUUGCCGUUUUGGGACCUCGGUCGAGCCAUUCGUUCAUUUUUACCAUUUUCGGUACUUGCCGG